rnacentral:misc_RNA from 1 species
UAUGAGAGAAUAUAGCAGCUUAAAGGGAGCUAAGAAAAAGAUUCAUUAGAUUCCACUUCCAUACUACUACAAGAAACAACUACCUUAACUCCCAAACUAGAACUAUCAAUAGUGCAGAAUAGGUGUCCUUGAUGAAUAGCCUCCACAUCAAUGCCAAUAUCCAUACCAUAUAGAUCAACUUUAGAUGGAAAACAAAAAGGAAAUAUCAACAUUAGAAGAUGUAUACUCACCCCCCCCCUUUUUUUUUCUUCCUAGUCAUGCACACGAGCAAGAAGUCUAACUUCAAGGAUCAAAUGAUCAGG